CCUACGGGUGGCAGCAGUGAGGAAUAUUUGUCAAUGGGCGCGAGCCUGAACCAGCCAAGUAGCGUGAAGGAUGACUGCCCUACGGGUUGUAAACUUCUUUUAUAAAGGAAUAAAGUGAGGCACGUGUGCCUUUUUGUAUGUACUUUAUGAAUAAGGAUCGGCUAACUCCGUGCCAGCAGCAGCGGUAAUAAGGAGGAUCCGAGCGUUAUCCGGAUUGAUUGGGGUUAAAGGGAUCGUAGGUGGGUUGUUAAGUCAGUUGUGAAAGUGUGCGGCUCAACCGGAAAAUUGCAAUUGAUACUGGCAGUCUUGAGUACAGUUGAGGUAGGCGGAAUUCGUGGUGUAGCGGUGAAAUGCUUAGAUAUCACGAAGAACUCCGAUUGCGAAGGCAGCUUACUAAACUGCCACUGACAUUGAUGCUCGAAAGUGUGGGUAUCAAACAGGAUUAGAUACCCUUGUAGUC
rnacentral:rRNA from 1 species